ensembl:lncRNA
UUCAUUUAUAACUAGUUUUAUUCAGCUCGGCUGAAGAUGACCAAAUUCCUCAAACAAAGUCCACACAGAUUGAAUCAUGUGUAGAGCUUCUGCAGUGGAUCGCUGCAGUAAUCACAGUAUUCCACAAGGUGGUGCUACAGCACUACAACUACAAUGACUUGCACAACGAGCUGCUGUUCCUUUCUUAUUCUUUCCUUCUAUUUUAUGAAAAAUCCCUCUGUUUCAAAAAUGACUGCUCGAGUCCAGAACUCAUUGGUGAACAAUGAGCGAUUUUCAUAGAACAUGCGUAUACACAUAAUAAUACAUUAGUAUGCGCUUGCGUAUUUAAAACACUGCAAUACUCCAUCAUCGUGUGCUGGAUUUUGUUUUUUUUCUUAGAACAUAACAACAGAACUGCCGGUUUUUCCGUUAAUAUGUCACCAGUCUGUACAUGCAGAGAAUCUAACAGUACAGCCUCGAGUGAGGACACUGUCAUAUAAAUCAGCAUGAACCUGGAUUACAUCACCAUCAUUAACACUCUUCUUCUUCUUCCUCUUAUUAUUAUUAUUAUUAGCGAUGAAGUCUGUAUCUGACUUACAUUGUAGGAGAUCGUAGUGUGCUUCUUAGGAGGUGGAGGCUUGUGAGUAGGAGGACCGCUGUAACACACACACACACACACACACACACACACACGAUUUAAGAAAGGGUAUACAAGAUAGUUUAGUGGAAAAGGCUCAUCUGUAAUAAAAGCUGAUAUGGUAGAUCUUUGAGAGGCGGAUUGAAACUACUGCGAGGAGAGGGAAUGUCCUGAUGAUGUUAUACUGUAGAAUCAAACCAGAUUCUGGAAAGCCAACAUUUGUGUGCUCGGUGUUUUCUCACCUAACACACACCAUUCAGCCCAUUAAAUCCUUGACAGUGUAGAAGACGAGCUGUUUCGUCAAAUGAGGCGGAAUUGCAGUGCUGGAGUCUGGCAUUGUGUUUAACAUUAGCUAACAAGCGGAGAUGCAGAUAACAGCAGGCAGGAGAAAGGAGAGAGGGAGAGAGAGACACAGAGAGAUAGAGGGAGAGAGAAAGCAAGAGAGACGGAGAGAGAGAGAGAGGGAGAGGUGGAGAGAGAGAGAGAAGGAGUGGGAGAGAGUGAGAGAGAAGGAGUGGGAGAGAGAGGGUGAGGGAGAGGGAGAGAGAGAGAGUGCGAGAGGAAGAGAGAGAGAGAGAGGGAGAGGUGGAGAGAGAGAGAGAGAGAGG